rnacentral:rRNA from 1 species
AUUGAACGCUGGCAGCAGGCCUAACACAUGCAAGUCGAACGGUAACAGGAAGCAGCUUGCUGCUUCGCUGACGAGUGGCGGACGGGUGAGUAAUGUCUGGGAAACUGCCUGAUGGAGGGGAAUAACUACUGGAAACGGUAGCUAAUACCGCAUAACGUCGCAAGACCAAAGAGGGGGACCUUCGGGCCUCUUGCCAUCGGAUGUGCCCAGAUGGGAUUAGCUAGUAGGUGGGGUAACGGCUCACCUAGGCGACGAUCCCUAGCUGGUCUGAGAGGAUGACCAGCCACACUGGAACUGAGACACGGUCCAGACUCCUACGGGAGGCAGCAGUGGGGAAUAUUGCACAAUGGGCGCAAGCCUGAUGCAGCCAUGCCGCGUGUAUGAAGAAGGCCUUCGGGUUGUAAAGUACUUUCAGCGGGGAGGAAGGCGAUAAGGUUAAUAACCUUGUCGAUUGACGUUACCCGCAGAGGAAGCACCGGCUAACUCCGUGCCAGCAGCCGCCGCCG